CGGCGCACAUAAGACAUGCAAGUCGAACGGAAGCCGUUAUAGUAGAAACAGAUUGAAAGAUUUAUCUGAAUUGACGUGGAAAUUAUAACAAUGACUUUAGUGGCGGACUGGUGAGUAACGCGUGAGCAACCUGCCUAUUAGAGGGGAAUAACAGUGAGAAAUCAUUGCUAAUACCGCAUAAGCUUGUAGGAAUGCAUGUUCUAGCAAGAAAAGGAGUAAUCCGCUAAUAGAUGGGCUCGCGUCUGAUUAGCUAGUUGGUGUGGUAACGGCAUACCAAGGCGACGAUCAGUAGCCGAGCUGAGAGGCUCUACGGCCACAUUGGGACUGAGAUACGGCCCAGACUCCUACGGGAGGCAGCAGUCGGGAAUAUUGCGCAAUGGAGGAAACUCUGACGCAGUGACGCCGCGUAUAGGAAGAAGGUUUUAGGAUUGUAAACUAUUUUAGACAGGGAAGAGAAAAGACUGUACCUGUAGAAUAAGCUCCGGCUAACUACGUGCCAGCCGCUGC
rnacentral:rRNA from 1 species